UACGUAGGGGGCUAGCGUUGUCCGGAAUCAUUGGGCGUAAAGAGCGUGUAGGCGGUCCGGUAAGUCCGCUGUGAAAGUCGGGGGCUCAACCCUCGAAUGCCGGUGGAUACUGUCGGGCUAGAGUGCGGAAGAGGCGAGUGGAAUUCCUGGUGCAGCGGUGAAAUGCGCAGAUAUCAGGAGGAACACCUAUUGCGAAGGCAGCUCGCUGGGACGUAACUGACGCUGAGACGCGAAAGCGUGGGGAGCAAACAGG
rnacentral:rRNA from 1 species